AGAGUUUGAUCCUGGCUCAGGACGAACGCUGGCGGCGUGCUUAACACAUGCAAGUCAAGGACCGUAGCAAUACGGGACUGGCGCACGGGUGCGGAACACGUAGGCAAUCUGCCCUUCAAGGGAGAACAACCAGCCGAAAGGUUGGCUAAAUCUCCGUAAAAUCAUAGAGUGGCAUCACUUAUUGAUCAAGUUUUUUGAAGGAUGAGCCUGCGUCUGAUUAGCUAGUUGGCGGGGUAACGGCCCACCAAGGCUACGAUCAGUAGCUGGUCUGAGAGGAUGAUCAGCCACAUUGGGACUGAGAUACGGCCCAGACUCCUACGGGAGGCAGCAGUGAGGAAUAUUGCUCAAUGGGGGAAACCCUGAAGCAGCAACGCCGCGUAAAGGAUGAAGGCGCUUUGCGUUGUAAACUUUUGUAGUCGGGGACAAAUUGUGGGUUAUUACCCGCUUGAUGGUACCCGAAAAGUAAGGAUCGGCUAACUACGUGCCAGCAGCCGCGGUAAUACGUAGGAUCCGAGCGUUGUCCGGAUUUACUGGGUGUAAAGGGUGCGCAGGCGGACUGGUAAGUCAGAGGUGAAAUCUCGUCGCUUAACGACGAAACUGCCUUUGAUACUAUCAGUCUUGAAUCCGGUAGAGAUCUGUGGAAUUCCGAGUGUAGCAGUGAAAUGUGUAGAUAUUCGGAAGAACACCAGUGGCGAAGGCAGCAGAUUGGGCCGGUAUUGACGCUCAGGCACGAAAGCAUGGGGAUCAAACAGGAUUAGAUACCCUAGUAGUCC
rnacentral:rRNA from 1 species